rnacentral:rRNA from 1 species
UACGGGGGAGCAAGCGUUGUUCGGAUUUACUGGGCGUAAAGGGCGCGUAGGCGGUCAGCACAAGUCAGUUGUGAAAUCUCCGGGCUUAACUCGGAAAGGUCAACUGAUACUGUGCGACUAGAGUGCGGAAGGGGCAACUGGAAUUCUCGGUGUAGCGGUGAAAUGCGUAGAUAUCAGGAGGAACACCGAUGGCGAAGGCAGCUCGCUGGGACGGUACUGACGCUGAGGCGCGAAAGCGUGGGAGCAACAGG